UAUUCCUUCCUCGUACCUUCCCUUUCUUAGCCAUGCCCCUCACUCUCUCUCUCUCUCUCUCUCUCUCUCUUACAGUCUUUCAGGGUCAUAGUAUAUAAGGAGACCUCUGGGUGUUACUUUCUGCAUCGGUAUUUGGUUUCUUCCAUAAUUUGCAUGAAAGCUUCUUUUUUUUUUUUUUCAUACAUGUAUAAUAAUUAAGUUUGUGUAUAUUCUUGUGCUCUUGUACAAGAAGAAUGAACCUUUUGGGAAUACCUUCAACAAAAACUUGUGGGUUUUGCAGGAUUAAUUGAAGCACCAUUCAGGGUUUUAUGUACUAAUUUUUAUUUUCAUUUUCUAUUUUUGUAUAUGCUUUUGGUCCUUUGAUAGUACUAGUGGUAGAGUAAUCCUUCUCAUCCGGUAUAUUUAUGGUUUUUGUUAGCAAGUUAAAUGGAAGGUAUAGAAGGAGCUCUUCUUCAGUCCAGUUCGAGUCAGAUAUGGCUGACACUCAGCUGCUGACUCGUUGGUUCAAGAGCUCAUCAUGAAAAAGGGAAGUGCAUGGAACGUGGUGUGUUUCUGAUCCAACGAUGCAGGAGCCGCGUUCGGCUUUCGCUGUCACGACUUGGACUGAAGGGAGCUCCCUCUUUUUAUUUUAUUUGUUUGCUGAAAGGAGCUUCCUCUUUUUAAUUCCCACAUUAAUCCAUCUAUAUUAUUAUAUAUUGGAUUAAUUUUACUUCGAAGUCCUACCAUAAAAUGUAUAAUUCUUUAGAGGCUGUGCUCUGAGUGUGUGUUUUGUUUAGAUAGAAUAUUUUAUAUGCUUUGUUUUUUAUUUUGUUUUUGUUUUUUUUUUUUUUCUAAAUUGAUUUUUGUGCAUCUAUCUAUGCAUCAUCCAUGCUUCUUUGUUAUAUAUACAUAUAUAUAUAUAUAUAUAUAUAUAUAUGCAGGUAGCGGCAGGUGAAAUAUGUGGUGGACAGAAAAUGUUUUUUGUCUGGGCAAUAAAGACGGAUUGGGUUUUUCGCAGUGUGUAAAGAUUGAUUAGGAGUUCGGUCAUGGGGUUGUGGAGAAUACAUAGUUUUAAUCUAAAAAGGAGGAGAAGGUGGGUGAUUCGGGCCAACAAACUGUCUCAAGUAGUGCCCUACCGUUUAAAGUGGUGCAAAGUGUGAAUGAAGUGCAUACCAUUAGACUAACUACACUUGUCUAUUCAACAACCAAUUUGCAGGCUAUUUUGUAACUUUGGGUUCCUAAUUCAUUUAAUUAGCUGUGUGAUAUUAUUUACCUGAAGAGAAUAUACUUUCAUUGGUCACACAGUAAUACAUCUAAUUUAUGUUUUAAUAAGAAACAUGUUUCUUGUG